GCUUAUCGAGGAAAAGAUCGAGGUGGGUUGGGGCGGGCUCUGGGGAUUUGGUCUCACAGCCCGGAUCCCAGCCCACUUACCUUGGCUACUCUCCUUCCUUCU
ensembl:miRNA